UACGAGAGGCCCAAACGUUAUUCGGAAUCACUGGGCUUAAAGGGUGCGUAGGCGGCUUAUCAAGUAGGGUGUGAAAGCCCCCGGCUUAACCGGGGAAUUGCGCCCUAAACUGACGAGCUGGAGUGGGACAGGGGUGUGUGGAACUUCCGGUGGAGCGGUGAAAUGUGUUGAUAUCGGAAGGAACGCCGGUGGCGAAAGCGACACACUGGGUCUCAACUGACGCUGAGGCACGAAAGCCAGGGGAGCGAACGGG
rnacentral:rRNA from 1 species